UGCAUAUCCAAAAAGCGGAGGAAAAGAAACCAACAGGGAUUGCCUUAGUAGCGGCGAGUGAAGCGGCAAAAGCUCAAAUUUGAAAUCUGGCUCUUUCAGAGUCCGAGUUGUAAUUUGAAGAAGGUAUCUUUGGGUCUGGCUCUUGUCUAUGUUUCUUGGAACAGAACGUCACAGAGGGUGAGAAUCCCGUGCGAUGAGAUGAUCCAGGCCUAUGUAAAGUUCCUUCGAAGAGUCGAGUUGUUUGGGAAUGCAGCUCUAAGUGGGUGGUAAAUUCCAUCUAAAGCUAAAUAUUGGCGAGAGACCGAUAGCGAACAAGUACAGUGAUGGAAAGAUGAAAAGAACUUUGAAAAGAGAGUGAAAAAGUACGUGAAAUUGUUGAAAGGGAAGGGCUUGAGAUCAGACUUGGUAUUUUGUAUGUUACUUCUUCGGGGGUGGCCUCUACAGUUUAUCGGGCCAGCAUCAGUUUGGGCGGUAGGAGAAUUGCGUUGGAAUGUGGCACGGCUUCGGUUGUGUGUUAUAGCCUUCGUCGAUACUGCCAGCCUAGACUGAGGACUGCGGUUUAUACCUAGGAUGUUGGCAUAAUGAUCUUAAGUCGCCCGUCUUGAACC
rnacentral:rRNA from 1 species